AGUUAUACUAGUUAAAAUUCUAUAAUUAAUAUUACUUAAUAGCAGCGAACAAAUGAAAUUUGAAUGAAAUAAAACCACACAACAACAACGCAUAGACUGGUGUAGUUUUGUUAGAGAGCCACUAUGAGGGUGGCAUUUGUUAAAAUUUGUUUUUUUUUUUUUUUUUUUUAAUGGCUUCGCGCUCCUGGCGCAUUCAGCCAGACGAGUAAAACGGGGAAACGGAAUUAAGGAUUACAUUAAAACGGGUAGGACGGAAUUUUGGAAAAGGAUCAGGAAAAGGUUAAUAAUUCAAAUAAUUUAAAGUUUAAUGUUGUGACGUGAAAUAAAAGAAUACAAUGAUUUAAAUAUAUAUGGAGAUGAAUCAUUAAUAUACAGGAGUGUUGUAAUAGAUGUGGGAAACGGAACUUUUAAAUCUGACAGCUGUCUUAAUAAUAUAGAACGGUCAUAUAGGUUACAAUUACCAGAAAAAAAGAUAUGAUUAAGAUCAGCGGGAUCAGUUCCACAAAUACAUGCAGAACUGGCCACACGAUUUUGUAGUUUCAGGUGUUCCGGUGUACAUACAUGGCCCAAUCUCAUACGAAUCAACAUACUAGUUGCAGGCUUUGGCAAAGAGAUUUUAGCAAACCAAGAAUUCCAAAGCACUCGCCACUGUACACAGAGGACUCUGGAGGCAACUUUAUUUUUUGGUAAAUAUUAGACUGGGUGUGAAGUACACCAAUGCCAACACACCCAUUGUCAGACAUCUUAGAAGCAUCUGUGUAUAUAUGAUCAGCAGCUAGGCCAUCUGUUCCAAUGAAUCCCAGGAAUUGUUGAUUUUGUUCAACAUCAUUCUUAGAAAUGCCGAUAUUAAGGAGAACUGGAGGAUCAAGUAUUACAGAUUCAUAUUCAUACUGGAAAAUGGGAAGUGUUGAAGAGCUAACAGUGGGAGCUGAAAUAGAUUUAAGUUUUUGAAAACUUUUAAUCAAACAUGGAGGACUCUUGUGCUUCCAGUAGUUAGAAGUAGUUAUUUGAAGCAGGAGGUUAGACAAGAUAACCCAGAGUUUGAUGAUUAGAAAAUUGGGAGCAGCGGAAAAUAAACCUAUCACAAAGAUAUUGGCGUCGUAAAUGGAGUGGAGGCUCAGCACACUCAACUUGCAUAGCAUUGAUAGGGCUUGAAUUCAUGGCACCGCAUAUCAUUCUCAGGGCUUUUGAUUGAAUACGAUCUAAUUUUUGGAAGCCUGCUACAAAUCCUGGCUCUAACAAAAAUGUUCCAUAAUCUAGAAUACUUCUUAUCAAGGCAUUAUACAUUAAUUUUAUGCAAAGAGGAUGCGAACCCCACCAAACUCCUGAAACACACCUAAGGAUA